AUUGAACGCUGGCGGCAGGCCUAACACAUGCCAGUCGAGCGGAUGAAGGGAGCUUGCUCCUGGAUUCAGCGGCGGACGGGUGAGUAAUGCCUAGGAAUCUGCCUGGUAGUGGGGGAUAACGUCCGGAAACGGGCGCUAAUACCGCAUACGUCCUGAGGGAGAAAGUGGGGGAUCUUCGGACCUCACGCUAUCAGAUGAGCCUAGGUCGGAUUAGCUAGUUGGUGGGGUAAAGGCCUACCAAGGCGACGAUCCGUAACUGGUCUGAGAGGAUGAUCAGUCACACUGGAACUGAGACACGGUCCAGGCUCCUACGGGAGGCAGCAGUGGGGAAUAUUGGACAAUGGGCGAAAGCCUGAUCCAGCCAUGCCGCGUGUGUGAAGAAGGUCUUCGGAUUGUAAAGCACUUUAAGUUGGGAGGAAGGGCAGUAAGUUAAUACCUUGCUGUUUUGACGUUACCAACAAAAUAAGCACCGGCUAACUUCGUG
rnacentral:rRNA from 1 species